rnacentral:rRNA from 1 species
AGGUGAUAUGAACCGUUAUAACCGGCGAUUUCCGAAUGGGGAAACCCAGUGUGACUCGUCACACUAUCAUUAACUGAAUCCAUAGGUUAAUGAGGCGAACCGGGGGAACUGAAACAUCUAAGUACCCCGAGGAAAAGAAAUCAACCGAGAUUCCCCCAGUAGCGGCGAGCGAACGGGGAGGAGCCCAGAGCCUGAAUCAGCAUGUGUGUUAGUGGAAGCGUCUGGAAAGGCGCGCGAUACAGGGUGACAGCCCCGUACACAAAAGCGCAUGUGCUGUGAGCUCGAUGAGUAGGGCGGGACACGUGGUAUCCUGUCUGAAUAUGGGGGGACCAUCCUCCAAGGCUAAAUACUCCUGACUGACCGAUAGUGAACCAGUACCGUGAGGGAAAGGCGAAAAGAACCCCGGCGAGGGGAGUGAAAAAGAACCUGAAACCGUGUACGUACAAGCAGUGGGAGCACAGGUUUACCUGUGUGACUGCGUACCUU